rnacentral:misc_RNA from 1 species
UGUUCGAGCGUCAUUACACCACUCAAGCCUGGCUUGGUAUUGGGCGCCGCGCCUCCGCGCGCGCCCUAAUGUCUCCGGCUGGACCGCCCGUCUCUAAGCGUUGUGCAAUCAAUCCGCUUGCGAGGCCGGGGGGGCUCCAUGCCGUUAAACCCUUUCUACAGGUUGACCUCGGAUCAGGUAGGGAUACCCGCUGAACUUAA